AACGACUCUCAUCAACGGAUAUCUUGGCUCUCGCAUUGAUGAAGAAUGUAGUGAAAUGCGAUACUUGGUKUGAAUUUCAUAAUCUUGUUAACCAUCAGUCUUUGAACGAAAGUUGCACCCGAAGCCUUUAGGCCGAGGGAACAUCURCCUUGGCAUCAUGU
rnacentral:rRNA from 1 species